AAUUGCUUAGGGGCCUGCCCGGGCAUCGUAUUUGGUGGCAGAGCUAAAUAAUUUUAGAAUUAGUAGCAUUAACUGAGCAGUACUGUUUGGGAAUUAGAACUGAAAUAUACGUUGUUUUCAGCAUGCCAAAUGCUUUCUUGAAUUCAUUCGACUUUGUCGCGACGGGCAGAUAAAAAUCAUAAAAGGAAUAUAUCGAAUUUGAAGAACUGAUAUUUAGUUAAAACAUUAACUUUUUACCUUUUAGGACUAACAUAUACCGACUACCAUAUACCCAGCUAAGUUCUCUGAGUCUGAAACAAGUUUCCCAACAUUAAAACAUAGAAUCCAUUCACUUUGAGGCUCUAUCGAUUUCCAGAUCAUUUCACAAUUCAAAGACCCGGCAUGGCCAUUGUCCGAGAUCUCCAAAUGACCAGGUUAAUAAGCAUAUACCAGUGGAAACCAGUUGGUCCAACUAGCGGAGCCAAGCCCCUGGGGUGGGAGCUCACUUAGGCCCCUCUAAAAGCAUACGCAUAGCCAAUGGUCGAGGCCAUAUUUACACUCUCCGUCCGAAAAAAUCUAUUCAGCCGGAGCCAGAACUAAUAAAACUCAUUAAACCAAACAUGUUUGGGCCAAGACAAAGGCCUCUGUCUAUGCCCAAUUUGAAUAAUCUCCUACACAGAGAGCAGACUAUGGCCACAUCAAAUGGGGAACUGGAUGGCGGCGAGAACCCGCGAGUCAAUAAUCUGAUUGGGGAGGCGAGUGAGAACAACGUUCAAUUAAAAGCAGAACCCAAAUUAAUGAAAUGAAAAUAAAAAUAAAUUAACCAAGGCCUGAACUCGACUUCAAAUCUGAACCGAAUCCGAAUCUGAAUCCGAACCCGAAAGAAAGCGGCCGUGCGGCGAAACCAACCAAACCAGCAGCCUCUGAAAAAGAGAGAAUCAAAAUGAUGACUUUUCAGUUCGGAGCGAAACUGUACCCCCCUGUUCGGCAUCGGCAUCGGCAUUGGCAUGGGCAUGGGCAUGGGCAUUAUAAUGAUCACCGAGAUCAUGAUGAUGCUGCGUGGAAGAGGAAGAACACAAAAGGUGGCUGUGGAACCCAAACCCGAACUUCCACCGGCAAAUGGCCAAGAUCGAUACAAUUUUCGAGCAGCAUUCGGGUUUUCGGACCCCAAAAGUCAGAGAACAGUAACAAUGCCGAGCCACAGAUACAAAGAUACCCAGAUACAUAUGGCUACAUAUAUACGUAUGGCGGCCAUAAGGCGGGGGACUGAGACAAAGUCACCUUUUUGGUUAUACGGGGAGAGACAAAAGACGUGGAAUGGGAACAAGAUCAUUGCAUUUUUGCUGGCUGCUGGCUGUUUUUUGUUUUUAUUGCAGCCCCGAAGCCAGUUUCGCCCCAGCCUGGUAACAAGUUUGACUGAAAAUUCUAAAAAUAAUGCCGGCCGGUUUGUCGUUUCCAAAAGAAAAUCAAAAACACACAAAAAAGGGGGAAUACGAAAAGAAAGAGUGGGCCCAACUCCAGAGAUGGUGCAUCUGUAGGCGAGUGUGAGUGAGUGAAGGGUAGGAAAAAAAUAACCAACACAAAAAAGUAACAUUUCGAGGAAGGGACUAAGGAUGCCAAGUGCCAAGUCACUCGAUUCGGCUUACAGGCAGCUGCAAUUGGUCCAGGGAUGGAGCACAAUUCACAGUGCUGCAGCCCUGAAGCUGACCGAUGUUGCAUCUUUCCUCUGCACAGCCAGACCAAUCUCGGGCCCAAUCCCUAUCCAGUCCGGUCCGGUCCGGCUGGCUUUGGUCAUGAGUCCCUAGUGCCCAGUGCCCGGUGCCUGGGCCCUGAUGAUCAUGACGCUGCUAAAUGUGGCCGGUGGUGCCCAGCAUGGGGCAGGGGCAGCCGGUUCAGUCUGUGGUGCUGUCCCCCCCCCCCCCCCUCCGCAGCCCACAGUGCUUGUUUGCAACAAGUAACGCGCAGAGGAAUCUGUAUUUGCCGGGCCAAAGAGUUGCUUACCUGCGGAGGCCGAGCUACCUGUGUCCAGGUAGGCGUAUGCAUGUGUGCCUGUGCCCUAUCCACAUCCUUCGUCUCUGCAGUGGAUGCAGCAGCCAGCGGUCAGCGGAGGCAGCGCAGCAUCGAACCAUCAUUAUAUUCAGGUUUUGAUGCCCCUCAUCCCCAUCCAGCACGCGAUAAAUCUCCGGCUUACAAUCAGGAGAAAUGCUGCCAGAACAAAAGCCCACAUGUCCAUUGCGUUGCCUUCGGCUCGCCGGUGAUUUGAAUAGCCACAGUUCUAGUGCCACAAAAAGAGCGAUGCUGCCAGUGGUCCCUGACCCUCGUCGUAAUCAAAGACGCCCAAUCGAGUAUGGGGGGGCUAUUUUUGUAAAACCCCAACUCGACUUGCUCAUUAUUUUGACGCUUUUUGGCUGGUCAUCGCUCUCAAGUGGCUCAUUCGGGUCGAGAUUGAUUCGAAAGAAAGGUGCAGAGAAAGUGUUACAACAAGACAGAAGCCAAUAGUCAAGCCCCUCGACUAUCAGAUACCCGUUACUCAGCUAGAGGAAAACGCAAUUUUGAACACAAAACAAAAGGAAAAAAUUUUUAACGUUUCAUUUUCGUAAUUGUAAUUUAAUAAUUAAAGGGACUCAUAUUCUCAUUUAGGGUUAUUUCUGUUUGUGUUCUGUGUACGUAAGAGGAGCAUGCCCAGCAUUUAAUGGCAUAUCGAUAUAAAAUUGACAAGUCAAACUAUUUCCAAAACAGUGGGCGUGACAGUUUUUGACGUCGAUGGUACCCCAUUUACUCUACGAGCAUAUACUGUUACACAAACUUAAAAAAUUAAUAAUUAAUAAUAGAAAAUAAAAAAAAAAUAGAAAAUAAUAAAAUUCGAAACGAUGUCACAAUAUUAAAAAGGUAAUAUAUUUGAACAUUUAUGAGUUUUUAAAG